rnacentral:lncRNA from 1 species
GCCUACAAUCCCGACGGGGAUUAUUAUUUAUGCAUGCUAGGCAAGACGAGGGUCUUGGCCUGAAUCCUCGGGGACGAUCGACUUAUAACACCUGGACUCCAUGUGAAGUUAGGUGGCGUAGCUCUUGGUAAUUGGGAGUACGUUGGUGGCAUGUGGUCUUGUGAUAUCUGAUCUUGGUAAAUGGGAUAGGUAUCCUUGACAGCGUUUAGUGGCCUGAGUCAGCAUAUAGUUCAAGGAUGCAUUAGAAUAAAUACUUAUAGAGUAUAGGUAAAUAUGGGAUAAAGAUGCGCUUGUUCGAAUAAUUGUGGUUGUCAUGUAUAUAUAUUACUAUUUUACAUCCUAUUCCCACUUUUAAACUUGUACGUAAAUCUUAGCCCUGUAUUCUUUUUGUCUUGCAUCUUUGGAUCGAUCUAUGACGAUCAGGCGACGAGCUAGACCAUUUAGGAGGGAAGGCUAUGGAGUGACAGAUUACGAUAAUGUCAAGGCUGAAGGUUGCUAGCGUUUUGUCAAACGCUUAUCACAUCGUUACUAGUACGUAAUAUUAUAUACAGUCAGUAUAAGUGUCAGUCCUGUUGGACUAUAUGAGGUCCUUCUAUUAAGCUUUCUUUUGAUUUUCAUGUACUUUUAUUUUAAGUUUUAUCUACGUGGCAAGGCCAUUAGUCGUAACGGUGUCAA